rnacentral:rRNA from 1 species
GAGUUUGAUCCUGGCUCAGAUUGAACGCUGGCGGCAUGCCUAACACAUGCAAGUCGAACGGGACCUUCGGGUCUAGUGGCGCACGGGUGCGUAACGCGUGGGAAUCCGCCCUCAGGUACGGAAUAACUCAGGGAAACUUGAGCUAAUACCGUAUAAUGACUUCGGUCCAAAGAUUUAUCGCCUGAGGAUGAGCCCGCGUAGGAUUAGCUUGUUGGUGAGGUAAAAGCUCACCAAGGCGACGAUCCUUAGCUGGUCUGAGAGGAUGAUCAGCCACACUGGGACUGAGACACGGCCCAGACUCCUACGGAGGCAGCAGUGGGGAAUAUUGGACAAUGGGCGAAAGCCUGAUCCAGCAAUGCCGCGUGAGUGAUGAAGGCCUUAGGGUUGUAAAGCUCUUUUACCCGGGAUGAUAAUGACAGUACCGGGAGAAUAAGCUCCGGCUAACUCCGUGCCAGCCGCCGCAGUAAG